UGAGGAACAUGACCUUCGGCGGGGGAUAGCCGGCCCAACGGCCGGGUAAUACCGCGUACGACCACUCGGGGACAUCCCUAGGUGGUGAAAGCAGCAAUGCGCCGAUAGAGUGCCUCGCGGCCUAUCAGCUUGUUGGUGAGGUAAUGGCUCACCAAGGCGACGACGGGUAGCCGGCCUGAGGAGGGUCGACCGGCCACACUGGGACUGAGACACGGCCCAGACCUCCGUACGGGAGCAGCGAGG
rnacentral:rRNA from 1 species